UACGGGGGGGGCAAGCGUUGUUCGGAAUUACUGGGCGUAAAGGGCUCGUAGGCGGCCAACUACGUCAAACGUGAAAUCCCUCGGCUUAACCGGGGAACUGCGUCUGAUACUGGAUGGCUUGAGUUUGGGAGAGGGAUGCGGAAUUCCAGGUGUAGCGGUGAAAUGCGUAGAGAUCGGGAAGAACAUCGGUGGCGAAGGCGGUCUGCUGGGCCGUUGCUGACGCUGAGGCGCGACAGCGUGGGGAGCAAACAGG
rnacentral:rRNA from 1 species